AGAGUUUGAUCAUGGCUACAGAACGAACGCUGGCGGCAUGCCUAACACAUGCAAGUCGAACGAGACCUUCGGGUCUAGUGGCGCACGGGUGCGUAACGCGUGGGAAUCUGCCCUUUGCUUCGGAAUAACAGUUAGAAAUGACUGCUAAUACCGGAUGAUGUCUUCAGACCAAAGAUUUAUCGGCAAAGGAUGAGCCCGCGUAGGAUUAGGUAGUUGGUGGGGUAAAGGCCUACCAAGCCGACGAUCCUUAGCUGGUCUGAGAGGAUGAUCAGCCACACUGGGACUGAGACACGGCCCAGACUCCUACGGGAGGCAGCAGUGGGGAAUAUUGGACAAUGGGCGCAAGCCUGAUCCAGCAAUGCCGCGUGAGUGAUGAAGGCCUUCGGGUCGUAAAGCUCUUUUACCAGGGAUGAUAAUGACAGUACCUGGAGAAUAAGCUCCGGCUAACUCCGUG
rnacentral:rRNA from 1 species